rnacentral:rRNA from 1 species
GAUGAACGCUGGCGGCGUGCCUAAUACAUGCAAGUCGAGCGAACGGACGAGAAGCUUGCUUCUCUGAUGUUAGCGGCGGACGGGUGAGUAACACGUGGAUAACCUACCUAUAAGACUGGGAUAACUUCGGGAAACCGGAGCUAAUACCGGAUAAUAUUUUGAACCGCAUGGUUCAAAAGUGAAAGACGGUCUUGCUGUCACUUAUAGAUGGAUCCGCGCUGCAUUAGCUAGUUGGUAAGGUAACGGCUUACCAAGGCAACGAUGCAUAGCCGACCUGAGAGGGUGCUCGGCCACACUGGAACUGAGACACGGUCCAGACUCCUACGGGAGGCAGCAGUAGGGAAUCUGCCGCAAUGGGCGAAAGCCUGACGGAGCAACGCCGCGUGAGUGAUGAAGGUCUUCGGAUCGUAAAACUCUGUUAUUAGGGAAGAACAUAUGUGUAAGUAACUGUGCACAUCUUGACGGGACCUAAUCAGAAAGCCACGGCUAACUACGU